GAUGAACGCUGGCGGCGUGCCUAAUACAUGCAAGUCGAGCGAAGCGGGGACGGGUGAGUAACACGUGGAUAACCUGCUAUAAGACCGGGAUAACUUCGGGAAACCGGAGGUAAACCGGCUGCUUAUAGAUGGAUCCGCGUUGCAUUAGCUAGUUGGUAGGGUAACGGCUUACCAAGGCCACGAUGCAUAGCCGACCUGAGAGGGUGAUCGGCCACACUGGAACUGAGACACGGUCCAGACUCCUACGGGAGGCAGCAGUAGGGAAUCUUCCGCAAUGGACGAAAGCCUGACCGAGCAACGCCGCGUGAGUGAUGAAGGUCUUCGGAUCGUAAAACUCUGUUAUUAGGGAAGCGGUACCUAACCAGAAAGCCACGGCUAACUACGUGCCAGCAGCCGCGGUAAUUC
rnacentral:rRNA from 1 species